GUAUGAAAUGAUCAAUGAUUAAUUUCCUUAUUGGUCUGAGUGGCCAACAUGAUGUCCUAAAUAGUGAACCGAAUCUGAUCAUCC